GACUUUGAGGUUUGUGUGGAUGUGUUUUUCAUUGGGUUUGGUACCUUUUGCAUUAUGAUUCUCGGGAAGGUUUCAGUUAGUUUGUGGUUCCGAAGGAUAGUGAUUUAUCUUUUUCCCGCUUGGAUUCUUAGCGUUGGUUGGGUUAAUCUUGUGAGAGUGAAGGAUGGAAGUGAUAUGUUAUUCGUACUAUCUUAUAGCUGAUUGAUGCUGUGUUGUAUUCGUUUUACUUUAGUUGCUUUGAUGUGGUUGAGGGGUUUAUAGACUGUUUUGCUGUUAAAUUUGGUAGGUUUGGAGUACCUUUUGUAGUUUUUGUGUUAUUACAUUGGUUGAUUUGUUGAUUGUCUUGAACUUGGUCAGUGUCUGAGGUAAUUAUUGUGGUUGGUAAUCGGGGAAUUAGUAGUUGCUUAUUAUAAUACUUUUGUCUCGUUAUUUGCCCGUCUGUUUAUUAAAAACAUUUCCAUCAUUAAGGUUUGAUGGUAGUGCCUGCCCAGUGAUUUGUUGUUUAAAUGGCCGCAGUAUUUUGACUGUGUGAAGGUAGCAUAAUUAGUUGCCUCAUAAUUGGAGGAUUGUUUGAAUGGUUUGACGAGGUUUAUUGUGAAAUGUAUUAUGUGGUCGAAUAUUGGAUUGUUCGUGCAGAUCCGAAUGAUGUUUAGUAAGACGGAAAGACCCCGAGAGCUUUAUAUUUUGAUUGUUUGCUUGGGGCAAGAGUAUGUUUUUUAUGUAUUUUUUGAUCCUGAAUUAGUUUAUUGGAUUAAAGGUUUUAGUUACCUCGGGGAUAACUAGGUAAUGGGUGAUGAGAGUCCUUAUUGAGUCAUUCGAUUACUAUCUCGAUGUUGGCUUAGGGUGAAGGUAAUGGCGCAGUAGUCGUUGCUUUUGGUCUGUUCGACCUGUGUUCCCUUUAUGAGCUGAGUUGAGACCGGUGUAAGCCAGGUCGGUUCUUAUCUACUAUGGUUGCAGAUUAGUACGAAAGGAUUGUCUGUGUUUUAGGUU
rnacentral:rRNA from 1 species